UUCCUCAGGGGAAGGAUUAUCAAGUGACACCGGGCGGAGGGCCCACGGGGGACUGGGCGGGAGGAAAGUUAGCAGGUAAAAAGGAUGAAUCAUGGAGAAGGAAGUGACCUUUAGGAGAAGGAAAUACGAGAAUACCAAAAAAGGUGUAAGGUUAAGAAGAGAAAAUGGACCCAGAAGAGGGGACCAAAAAAGAGGAGGCGUGUUCGGGUACUGGAGGAAGAAGAAAGGAAAGCACCUACAUAAUAGCUGCCCAAUCUCUUCCCUGCUCUGAGCCCAGGGGUUUAGUCUGCAGAGCUCUGAGAGUGUAAAAUUUCCCAUGUGCCUUCAAACCAGGUCAUUCUGGAAUCUG
rnacentral:lncRNA from 1 species